GGUCCCGUAGUGUAGCGGCAUCACAUUGGACUUUGAAUCCAAUAACCCGAGUUCAAAUCUCGGCGGGACCU
rnacentral:tRNA from 1 species